AAUCAUUCUCAUACUUAGUUAUCAAGGAUACCUCGAUCGAGGGUUAUCCCAACUGAGUCCGCCAAGGCUGUUAAAUGUCUUUACAUCUGAAAUUUUAGCCAUGCCUUGACGUUAGCUGAGUCUCACUCUCAUGCGGUGGUCCACAUGAAGUGCACUCAAAUCUUUACCUCAGGAGAUACUUCAUCCAACAUCUCCCCCCGGAGGUAAAUAUAUAAUUAGGCUAUCGUGCCCCUCUCAUAGGCAAUCCACGGAAACCCCCACCACUGCAAUGACUAUGGAUUAUUUUAUCUAUCACCUGAUUUAUAAAAUCUUUUUCUACUUGACAUGACAAUUUAUCGCAACCUAGCCUCUCAAGGCUGAAUACACAGUAUAAAUAAUUCUAACACCAAAAAUCAGUUUAGCCAUUCAUGCUCAUAUAUUAUCAUAAGCCAUUUAAUUUAAAACCAUAAAUUUACAACACAAGCAGGCAGUCUCCAAUUACUCUAUAUUCAAAAUCAAUAUUCAAUUUUUCAAAAAAUUUAUAAAAUCAUUUUAUAAAAUCACAAUUUCUCCUAAAACAUAGCAAUUUACCAUUUAAACCCAUUUUUCAUAAAAUCACACAAUUGAAUAAAACUACUCUAGAUAAUUAAGACGAUAAUAAGUUCACUCACAGUUCUAGGAGUCGAUGUACUCUUAAUAUCAGUCUCCAAGCACAAUCUCUGUACUUUUACCAAUGUAAUUUACUCACCAUCUAUCCACAAUGUACAAUACAUAAUUCACCACAUCAAUGUUUGACCAUUAUAAAAUCAAUUCAGGCUCGGUUUAUAUGCAUGAUAUGAUAUGCAACUUAUCCGACUACCUCUUAAAUGCGGUGCUGACCUAAUUCGGCCAAUUACCCGAUUAAAUGACAAUUUUGUCCGAUUUGACUCCAAAUUGCUCCAUUUCAUUUCUAAUAUUUCAAUUCACUAAAUACAAUCCCAAUAAUCUAAAAUUCAGCCUAACAACCCUCACAAUUCUUCUUGAAAAUUUCGGCCAUUGUGGUGCACUAUCACUAAAACUUUUCCCAUUCCAUUUUCUCACCAUAAAUCAUCAUUUCAUCAAUUUUUUAACCAAUUCACUUGAUCACAAAAUCAAUUCAUUACUUCUACACUUCACAUAGGGUUCGGCCAUUGAAGGUUUAUGGGAAAAAUGGAUUCUUUUCUUGUUGUUUGUUUCUAAACAUGCUUAACUAACUCUAAACACCAACAUAACUUAGAAUCAAAUCAAUCUAACAUCAUUCUCUCUCCAUACCCAUUCCAACCAGCCAUGAAUUCAUCAUGAAAACAUGUAAUUUAACCAUGGAAAAUGAGGAGAAAUGCAUGGGUAAGGUAAAUCACUAGCAAAAUCAAAGAAAUUUUACCUUUGCUUGAUCAAAUCCUUGAAUUCCAACACUUUCUCUUUGAUUUUUCCCACCUAGGGUUUGUUCUUCCUUGGUUUCUCUUCUCUUCUAGUUUGGCUGACCACUAUGGGAG
rnacentral:lncRNA from 1 species